GCCCCACCACCGAUUCUCUUCCUCCGCUCCGUUCCCCACCUCCGUUGGUGCGUCCACCGAGGCGGCCGGGUCGGUUCGCCUCCGCCGCGGUCGAUCAAUGAAUCCAUGCCGGCCUCGUGGCCUGGUUCCUUGCUCUCCUUAUUCUAGGAAUGUGCAACUGAGUGACUGCUGAGCUGUAGAUAAAUGUGAGGAGUUGAGGACAUUAUUUACAAACAAAUGGUAUGUAGUAUUCCAGAUCUGAAGAACUAGACGGAGCAUAUACAACAGAAGUGAUAGUAUAUGAAUAGUAAGGAUUUUCUCCAACAAAAAUUCUUCCAUAAUCUCUAGAUCUAUCACAUUAAGUUAUGUCACAUGUUUUGCUGAAAGCAAUAGUAACAGACUCAUAGUGUCCUUCUGGAAGAAUAUGUCCUGAAGUAAACUAAUGUAAAAGUCAACCUUUGUAAUUAAUUCGAGCUUAGUAGUGGUCUUGUAGUGACAGUACUUUAGUACUUUAUUCUCAUGACUUCUUGUGCUUACUAAGCUUUGGCAGUAAGCUUUUAAUUUGCAUCUUCCAGCAGAAGCUAUAUGUUAGAGUCAAUUUGUUCUAACUGUAAACCAUCAAAAUAACUCAUAACUGUAUCUGGUAAUACACAAACUAAAAAUUCUUGUUACUCUGUUUGAAAUAUCGUUAUUUACUGUAGUUGUUUCUGGUGUUAUAAUGUAAUAAAAAAGACAGAUCCAGUAUCAGUGGCUUCCACAUGCGUGAAGUUUAGGCGAAGGAAUAACCGAGGCAAGCUUUGCCCUGUAUCUUGCAGAGAGACUACACUGACUGAAUCUAGGACUUCUGGAUUAAUGGAAAGGCUUCUCACCACUUUGUUAGACUUGUCCUUCUCUGGUGUUAUACUGUCAUCUGAUAAAAUAAUUCAAUAGCAAGCUAAGCAACAGUAUACUUCAUACAUGGCAGAGCUCAACUUUGACUUCUCAGGGCUUAAAAUUGAAUUUAUAUGACAUAGCUUGUUUCAUUUCAGAUCAUCUGUUUUUCUUAAGUCAUCGCUUGUUUGAUUGGGUUUUCAGUUAGCAACAUCAUAGUUAGCAGCCCAAGAUUAAGAAUUGUAGUAUCUUCUGAAGAUUAAGACCUCAGUCAUUCUCCGAAAGUAUCAAUACUUGGAAGUAUGAAACUGUAGAUCAUGAACACAGUGUUUCGUCAAUGUUUUUUGAACAACUUAUGUUAUGUGCUUGAUUUUUAAAGGAGUCAGUUGACAACCAGUGUUCAUUUCUUUUCAGCUUUAAUAGUAAAUAACUGAUCAUUAGGUGCAAUUUUCUAUUCAAGCAACCAUGUUACAUGAUCAGUUGGUAUUUAUGGCACAUCAAUUUUGUUAGUUGCGAUGCUAGCAUUCUGAACUGUGUCAUCAUGGUUUGCUUUUAGAACUAUUAUACAUAGAUAAUAAUUGAUUUGGAGAACACUUCAAUUCCUGUAACAAACACGCAAGUUACGCUAGCAUGUCAUGUCAUGUGCUUAUUAAUUCAAAAACAAUAAUUGUGUGCAUGAACAAUAGAUCUGUACGGAUUGUUUCAAUCGUCAAAUCAUGAAGCAUCCGCUGCCGUGAUGGAAAUGCAUUGCAUUAUUCAUUUCCGAUUCUUUGACAUCAUACAUUCUAUACGUGUAUCCUUACUGUUUUUUAUUAAAAGUGGUGAUUAUAUAGAUCAAAAUAUAAGUAGUGCCGAUAUCAUCAUUUGUUGUCAGCUAACGGAUCAUUCCUUGUGCCUUCUAAAUAUGAUUGAAAUUGUCAAUAGCAAAAUGUUGAAUACCUAGCUAUUGAAAAUUUGCAUUGUCAAGGUUUCACGCAACAUAAAGAUGUGGUGCUAUUUUUUUUAGUUCUGUUCAUUUUUCAUAGCAAAGUUUGGAGUACUUUUAUUUUGUUCCCCUUUAUUCACCUUAAUCUAUGCAGAUUUAUUAUCUAUUUAUAUGCAGUAAUAACUAAAAACGACUGUGCUGCUAUGUUAUAAAAUGAUUCUUUGUACAAGUUAUUUAAUCUAUCAUCACAAUUUAUAUAAGGUAAUUUAUGGUCAUAUAGUCAUGUCUGUCAGAUACAGUAGUCAUUUCCUCUUUUGGCAUAUGAUAUUUGGUUCUUCAAUAGAGAACCAAUGAUAUGUAUACUUAUUAACCAGUCAUGGCUGCCGCUAGGCCGCUAGUACUUUGUUUACUUAGGAUUGAUUUUGAAGAAGAUUGGCAAUGCAAGUAAGCUUCCAACAGGUCUGAGGUAUGUGUCUAAUGAAAGCGUCUUUCUUCCAUUUAUUGGUUGAAUGCCCUUGUGUCAAAGCAUCCUAUGCAUAUCAACUUGCACUUACUGAAUAAGGGGAUAUACCUUAUUACAAUUCCAUGUCUAAAUUAAUGACACUAAAUGAAUUUUGAUUUAUGUAUCUUAGUUUGUAAAGUUGCCAUGUCGCUAAUAUUCGACAGCUGUUUUUGUUACAGCAUAUAAAAUGGACUUGAUGCAUCACUCUUUUUAGAAAGGUAAAACCUGAGCUCACCAAACACUUUCUAGCUCUGCCUUGAGGGAAGAAUAGCACCAUUGAAAGGACAAUGCAAACACCAAACAAAAAGGGCGAAGCGCAGCAAAGGGGCCGGAAAAGAAGUCCUCAACGAUUUUCUGUUAAUUGAAUGAUAUGGCAUCCUAGAGUUUGUUGAGAAACAUAGGUGCCAUUAUAUUUGUCUGAAGUCCCAAAGCUCUCAAUCUAUUAUGCCUACAAGGCUAGCUGCAUAUGCAUCAUUAGCCACUUACACUUCAAUUAUUCGUGACUAAGAAUUCAGGAAUCUUUUUCUUGAUUAUAUAGACUUCUGUACAAUCUGUCUCCCUUCUCUUAUUUACUUGGUUGAAAAGACCAAUAAUGGAUAAGAAUCUAUUAUUUGAGAGGUUAAGAUGUGAU
rnacentral:lncRNA from 7 species